UGGGUGUGGAUUCCUCACUGGAGAGGUGGG
rnacentral:piRNA from 1 species